GUGAGCAAUCUGCCCCUGACUCUGGGAUAAGCGCUGGAAACGGCGUCUAAUACCGGAUAUGAGCUGCGACCGCAUGGUCAGUAGUUGGAAAGAUUUUUCGGUCAGGGAUGAGCUCGCGGCCUAUCAGCUUGUUGGUGAGGUAAUGGCUCACCAAGGCGUCGACGGGUAGCCGGCCUGAGAGGGUGACCGGCCACACUGGGACUGAGACACGGCCCAGACUCCUACGGGAGGCAGCAGUGGGGAAUAUUGCACAAUGGGCGGAAGCCUGAUGCAGCAACGCCGCGUGAGGGAUGACGGCCUUCGGGUUGUAAACCUCUUUUAGCAGGGAAGAAGCGAAAGUGACGGUACCUGCAUAAAAAGCGCCGGCUAACUACGUGCCAGCAGCCGCGGUAAUACGUAUGGCGCAAGCGUUAUC
rnacentral:rRNA from 1 species